rnacentral:miRNA from 1 species
AGAUGUUUGGCUCACUGCGUUGGA